GAUGAAGAACGUAGUGGAAUGUGAUAAGUAAUGUGAAUUGCAGAAUCUCGUGAAUCAUCGAAUCUUUGAACGCACAUUGCGCCCAAUGGUAUUCCAUUGGGCAUACCUGUUUGAGUAUCAGAAUCCUUUCAAUUAUCAAACUUUUAUAUAUAGAGAUGUAUGUAAAGAUGUUUGGAAUAAAGUUGAGAAAAGUAGUAUUGUUUAUAAUAUUACUUUCUUAAAAACCAGAAAUAUUAUGUUUUGAUUUUUCUUCACCUCAUUUUGUAUGAAAUUUUAACAAAUGAGUAUGAGUAAAAAUAACAAUACUUUGGAUGACCUCAAAUCAGGUAGGGAUACCCGCUGAACUUAAGCAUAUCAAUAAGCGGAGGA
rnacentral:misc_RNA from 1 species